rnacentral:rRNA from 1 species
AGAGUUUGAUCCUGGCUCAGGAUUAACGCUGGCGGCGUGCAUAACACAUUCAAGUCGAACGGGUGUAGCAAUACAUCAGUGGCGGACGGGUGAGUAACGCGUGAGCAAUCUACCUUCCAGUACGGAAUAACAACCGGAAACAGUUGCUAAUACCGUAUGAAACAGCAGCACCGCAUGGUGCAACUGUCAAAGGCUUGCUGCUGGAAGAUGAGCUUGCGUCCGAUUAGAUAGUUGGCGGGGUAACGGCCCACCAAGUCGACGAUCGGUAGCCGGACUGAGAGGUUGAACGGCCACAUUGGAACUGAGAUACGGUCCAGACUCCUACGGGAGGCAGCAGUGGGGAAUAUUGGGCAAUGGGCGAAAGCCUGACCCAGCGACGCCGCGUGAGGGAAGAAGAUCUUCGGAUUGUAAACCUUAGUCAACAGGGAAGAAGAAAGUGACGGUACCUGUGGAGGAAGCCACGGCUAACUACGUGCCAGCAGCCGCGGUAAUACGUAGGUGGCGAGCGUUAUCCGGAUUUACUGGGUGUAAAGGGUGUGUAGGCGGGCUAGCAAGUCAGAUGUGAAAACUAUGGGCUUAACCCAUAGCCUGCAUUUGAAACUGUUGGUCUUGAGAGUGGGAGAGGUAAGUAGAAUUCCCGGUGUAGCGGUGAAAUGCGUAGAUAUCGGGAGGAAUACCGGUGGCGAAGGCAGGUCUCUGGGCUGUAACUGACGCUGAGGAGCGAAAGCAUGGGGAGCGAACAGGAUUAGAUACCCUGGUAGUCCAUGCCGUAAACGUUGGGCACUAGGUGUGGGGGACAUUCCACGUUUUCCGCGCCGUAGCUAACGCAUUAAGUGCCCCGCCUGGGGAGUACGGCCGCAAGGCUAAAACUCAAAGGAAUUGACGGGGGCCCGCACAAGCGGCGGAGCAUGCGGAUUAAUUCGAUGCGACGCGAAGAACCUUACCAAGGCUUGACAUGAACCGGAAAGGCCUGGAAACAGGUCCCCCACUUGUGGCCGGUUUACAGGUGGUGCAUGGUUGUCGUCAGCUCGUGUCGUGAGAUGUUGGGUUAAGUCCCGCAACGAGCGCAACCCUCGUUCUAUGUUGCCAGCGGGUUAUGCCGGGGACUCAUAGGAGACUGCCGGGGUCAACUCGGAGGAAGGUGGGGACGACGUCAAAUCAUCAUGCCCCUUAUGUCUUGGGCUUCACGCAUGCUACAAUGGCCGGUACAAAGGGUUGCGAUACUGUGAGGUGGAGCUAAUCCCAAAAAGCCGGUCUCAGUUCGGAUUGAGGUCUGCAACUCGACCUCAUGAAGUUGGAGUCGCUAGUAAUCGCAGAUCAGCAGCGCUGCGGUGAAUACGUUCCCGGGCCUUGCACACACCGCCCGUCA